rnacentral:rRNA from 1 species
GAUCUGGCUCAGGAUGAACGCUAGCGACAGGCUUAACACAUGCAAGUCGAGGGGCAGCGGGGGGUAGCGAUACCCGCCGGCGACCGGCGCACGGGUGAGUAACGCGUAUGCAACUUGCCUAUUAGAGGGGGAUAACCCGGCGAAAGUCGGACUAAUACCGCAUGAAGCAGGGAUCCCGCAUGGGAAUAUUUGUCUAAAGAAUUUAUUCGCUGAUAGAUAAGGCGAUGCGUUCCCUACUUAAGGUCGAGUU